rnacentral:rRNA from 1 species
CGCGGCCUAUCAGCUUGUUGGCGAGGUAAAGGCUCACCAAGGCAUUGACGGGUAGCUGGUCUGAGAGGACGAUCAGCCACGCUGGGACUGAGACACGGCCCAGACUCCUGCGGGAGGCAGCAGUGGGGAAUCUUGCGCAAUGGGCGAAAGCCUGACGCAGCAACGCCGCGUGGGGGAUGAAGGCUCUCGGGUUGUAAACCCCUUUCAGCAGGGACGAAAUUGACGGUACCUGUAGAAGAAGCCCCGGCCAACUACGUGCCAGCAGCCGCGGUAACACGCAGGGGGCGAGCGUUGUCCGGAAUUAUUGGGCGUAAAGGGCUCGUAGGCGGUUCGGUAAGUCAGAUGUGAAAGGUUGGGGCUCAACCCUAAGACUGCAUUUGAUACUGCCGUGACUAGAGUCCGGUAGAGGAGUGUGGAAUUCCUGGUGUAGCGGUGAAAUGCGCAGAUAUCAGGAGGAACACCGACGGCGAAGGCAGCACUCUGGGCCGGUACUGACGCUGAGGAGCGAAAGCGUGGGUAGCAAGCAGGAUUAGAUACCCUGGUAGUCCACGCCGUAAACGUUGGGCACUAGGUGUGGGACCUUAUCAACGGGUUCCGUGCCGUAGCUAACGCAUUAAGUGCCCCGCCUGGGGAGUACGG